UCCUACGGGAGGCUGCAGUGGGGAAUAUUGCACAAUGGGCGCAAGCCUGAUGCAGCGACGCCGCGUGCGGGAUGACGGCCUUCGGGUUGUAAACCGCUUUCAGCAGGGAAGAAGCGCAAGUGACGGUACCUGCAGAAGAAGCGCCGGCUAACUACGUGCCAGCAGCCGCGGUAAUACGUAGGGCGCAAGCGUUGUCCGGAAUUAUUGGGCGUAAAGAGCUCGUAGGCGGUCUGUCGCGUCUGCUGUGAAAUCCUCGGGCUCAACCUGGGGCUUGCAGUGGGUACGGGCAGACUAGAGUGCGGUAGGGGUGACUGGAAUUCCUGGUGUAGCGGUGGAAUGCGCAGAUAUCAGGAGGAACACCGAUGGCGAAGGCAGGUCACUGGGCCGCAACUGACGCUGAGGAGCGAAAGCAUGGGGAGCGAACAGGAUUAGAUACCCUGGUAGUCC
rnacentral:rRNA from 1 species